rfam:Brachypodium distachyon strain Bd21 chromosome 1, whole genome shotgun sequence.
UUAAUACUCUCUCCGUCCAACAAAAAAUGUCUCAAGUUUGUUAAAAUCUGAAUGUAUUUAAACAUGACUUAGUGUAUAGAGACAUUCAGAUUUAGUUAAAGUUAAGACAUUCUUUGUUGGACUGAGAAAGUAUCAU